rnacentral:tRNA from 1 species
AAAUAAGAAGCAAUUUUGCAUUUAAUUUCGACCUAAAAGAUGAGUAUAAAAUACUCCUUAUUUA